GACGAACGCUGGCGGCGCGCUUAACACAUGCAAGUCGAGCGAGAACCAUGGCUUCGGCCAUGGGGACAGCGGCGAACGGGUGAGUAACACGUGGGUAAUCAACCCUCGACACUGGGAUAGCCCGGGGAAACCCGGAUUAAUACCGGAUACCCCAUCUGGCCUUCGGGCCGGCUGGAAAAGGUAGCUUUGGCCUCCGGUCGAGGACGAGCCCGCGGCGGAUUAGCUUGUUGGUGGGGUAAAGGCCCACCAAGGCGACGAUCCGUAGCUGGUCUGAGAGGACGAUCAGCCACACUGGGACUGAGACACGGCCCAGACUCCUACGGGAGGCAGCAGUGGGGAAUCUUGCGCAAUGGGCGAAAGCCUGACGCAGCGACGCCGCGUGAGGGAAGAAGGCCUUCGGGUUGUAAACCUCUUUCAGGAGGGACGAAGCCACUCGGGUUAAUAGCCUAGAGGGUGACGGUACCUCCAGAAGAAGCCCCGGCUAACUACGUGCCAGCAGCCGCAGUAAGAC
rnacentral:rRNA from 1 species